ensembl:lncRNA
CCCACAGUUAUAACCUGGGACACUGCAUUGCAUGGAUUUAUUGGACAGAAGAACCUCCAGAGGCUGUGAGCUUACAGAUAACUCACUGGCAAAAUGCUUCUGUUGUUUCUGUCUCUGGUUUUGGGAACUCCACAAGGACAAGGGGUUACAGUAACGUGUGACAAUAUAUCGGUUUCAAAAGACCAGCAACUGACACUGUGCUGUACAGUGGAUUACACUGCCAUACAAACUAUCAAACAUGGGACGAAGGGGACCACAAAUGACACAACAUGUGUUACUGAGUGGUUUGCAUGGAAGUAUUCAGAUAAUGUACUACUGAAUUGUAUUAAAGACUGUCACAUGAAAGAAACGGAAGCACCACACUGCUAUUAUAAGAAAGAAAAUGUUACAAAAGCUGAUGAGGGUAAUUACACUUUUUCCAUUGGCACAAACUGUGGGUUUGGUUCAGGGACAACAAGCUUUUUCACUGUUGCAGUUCCUGCGAAAAGUGUUGACAACUGGAGAGAGCAACAAGCUCCUGUAUGGUUAACUCUGGUUGUUAUCAUCAGCGUCAUCGCUGUUCUGGGCGUUCUAUUGUUUCUAAAAACUUAUCGUUCUGGCAGAAGAUUGAUGAAACGACUCAAGAGUUCUAUGACCCAGAGCAACAACAACACUGAUGAGAGCCCUGAAGGUUCAAGAGAGGCCGUUACCCUGGUGCCUGCAUAACAUUCAGCGUGAGCCAGUUGUCUUGUUGGUUAUUUCGAAAUGAACUCCACGUUGACCUCUGCUAUGUUGCUGUAUGUCAGAUGCAUUCUAUACCAAUAAAACACUACUCACUUUUGCACCUAAAUUAGUUUUGCACCAACAUUUGUGGAAUCAGUUAGUGAAAUCACUAAUAAUCGUCUUUCACAGAAAAAAAGGGUGCUAAAAAGGGUGCUAUCUAGAACCAUCCCCAUAGGAGAACCCUUUGAAUAACUCUGGUUCCAGGUAGAACCCUUUUCAUAACCCUUAAGCUUGUUUACAAAGGGAGUUGGUUUUGGUCUAUAUAUACAUUGAUGUUGUAAUAUUCUGUAAUAUUCUCACAAGCAUUGUUUUCAUAACUACUAAGCUAAACUUGUUUUUAGUUUUAGCCUAAACUCUGACGUAAUUUUCUGGGACUCAUGUUUUUUUAAAUUAAUAUAAAAUGUUAUUGAUUUGUGUACAAAUAAACGUUUGGAAAUAACCAGUCUUCAUAAUGUUAUUUCUCUCAUAUAGAGCUUGUUGUCUUGUGCCGAAUUAUUAUCUCCAACAAUAAUGUACAUUUCAGUUAUCACAGCACAUAGAGUACCCGUCAGCAGAAAAUAACCACAACACUUCCUGUGAACAAGUCAACAGAGGAAACUCUUUCUCUAUCCAUUUAUUCAGUUGUUCACCAUUUUACCCUGCCAAAAGACAGUUCACCAGUCAGUUGUGAGUGUUUUGCGCGUGCGGAAGAGUGUGUGGAGCUCUCUGAUAAAUGCAGCUGGUACCUAGUCGGCAGGAUGGAUGUUCUGUUGUGGAGAUGUGUGCUGGGACUCCUCUGCAGCCCUGCAGUGCUCACCUGGACAGGUAAGUGAGUUUUUAGUUGACCCUAAAUGGACAAUUAACCGUCAGACAAAAAAAAGGAGGACCAAGGUGGCAUUCUUGUCUUCAUAAUAACAAUAUGUCUAAAUCCUGGGCCCCUGUCUAUCUAUCUCUCUCCCUGCAAGUUUCCCAGAGCCCCAGUGCCGUAGCUCUGAUGAAGGUCAACUCCUCGGCCGAGAUCCUCUGCUCCACAUCGCUACCGGACCCCACAGGCCUCUACCUCAGGGGUCGAUUCCACAACAACAGAGAUGUGCUGUACUUGUCGAUAGCUGACAGAGCAGUCGGUAGGACCACAAUCCACAAUGGGUUCAGAGGUCGGGUCACAGUGGUGUCAGACCAGGACCAGGAGGUCAAGCGGUGCUGUGAGUUCACACUGAGGCUGUCCCAGCUUGGGGUGGAGGACACAGACAGUUACUACUGCAGCUGGAGGUACUACGAUACCAAAGGGAAAGUGCUGGUACAGCGGCACAGUAAUGGCACCAUCAUCAUUGUCAGAGGUACAAAUAUUAUUAUUUUUAUUCAAGAAGAAGAAGAAAUGUUAUUCAUCAGGGUUAGGGUGAAUUCCAUUUUUCAUUCAGAUUGUCUUUCUCUUCCUGGAUUAACGAAGACUUGGUAUCCAAUCAUUAUUCUAGAACUGUCUGUUCCACACUUUUUUAUGAUGCAGUGUGAAAAUAUCAAUCUCUACUAUUUCAACGACAUACCACAACUGAUGUAAGUGGUUUUAAUGUGCUAGUACUAGCUAUGAUCAUGAUUAGUGCACAAUAUGUCAGGUAUUGUGUUCCAAUAUGUGCAAUAUGGACUCACCAUAUUCCUUUGAAUUUCUUUUGAAUGAGUUUUCCCUGAGCAGUUGACCAGGCCAGGAAAAACUCUGGGUCAGAGUCAAAGGGCUAUAAUGAGGGCCCAGAGUUUUUCAAGAAGACAUGAAGCUGAACCACUUCUUCUAAUUCCCUCUCCCCUCCAUACAGAGAGAGAUCCAGAGAAGGGCUGUGGCGGCGGUCAGACCAACAUUGAACUCAUCUUGAUUGUGCUGAGUUGGACGGCCUUCAUCGUCAUCUUCUUCCUCUUCAUUGGAGCUCUGAUGUGGCGAUGCACACGGGUAAGUCAAUGUUUCCCUUAUAUUUGCCACUGCAAAAACAUUCAAGUAGUAAUUAUAAUAAUUUUUGGGAUGGUAAAAACGUUUUCAGUGUAACAUUAAACAUAUUGGAGCAAUAUAUUUUUCAAUAAAUAAGAUUAUCUUUGAGAACUAACAAUCACCAUUCUCAGGGAGAAUCUGAAAUUCCAAAAAUGUCAUGGGCUGGGUCCCCCAAAUGAUUUCUUUGUCAUGUUUGAGUCAUUCCAGAUAGCAUAAGAACGGCAAGGCAUAGGUCAAGGCUAAAUGUAUAUAAUUGCAGGAAAUUAUCUUUAAAACUGAAAAUUCUCUCAGUCCCAUGACAAAAUGUGUAGAAUUGCAGGAAAUUAGCUUUAAAACAGCAACAUUUUGUCUCUGCGGCCAAGAGGAGGGCCUAUAAAACCGUGCCUUUGCCCAUGCCCACUAACCCCACCAUUUUGGAUGAAGUCUAAGAUGAGUGUGAAUAUGAAUUUAAACAUCUCUAUGUUUUCCUACAGACCAAAAAGCACUACACACCAGCCAGGGACAAUAGAAGACACCACCAGCAUGUGUGUCCACAGCACAGGCCUACUGCUGACCCAUAGUUCAUCUACUCGAGCAGCUCUCCAGGCCAUGUCAACUUUAAAGGGAUACUGUAACAUUGAAGGGAAGGGAAGAAGUGAUUCUGCAAUUGCGGUAAUGAUUUACCUUUAGAGUGUCUACGCAGUUAGGCCUACUGUCUGUUCUCACUAAUGGAAUGUUCUUUACUUACUGUUUUUGGCUAGAUUUCAGAUAUAUUUUCAGACGUCUGUCUGAGCAAUCCAUUAUUUGCGUUUAUUUGCCAAGUUGGUAGUUGUGCAUUUCUGUUCAUUGCAUCUGACAGAAACAUCAGUGCAAUUAAAUAGUGUGCAAUUAUGUGCAUUUUGUAGGCUACUGUUCUCAUGAGCUCUUUCUCACCAAAUGUCUGUUUUUCUCUUCUUUUGUGUCUCCACUUCCGAUUGUUAUGGGAAUUGUCUAUGUUAACAGAAAGACUCUUUCUAUGUGACUCAGUGAUACUAACAUCAACGUACCAUACCACAUCCUGCAGUUUGAUGUCUGACAUGCUUUCAGAUCAUAUAUCGGCUGCCUAAUGUGUGAACGGGUCAAUUGUUUUGUUUUUUGCACAUCCUGUAGAUUUAAGUGUUUCGACAAUGUUGUGCUAAUCUGUUAGAUUAUCCUGCUCUUCAUCUGACAUGUCCUAAUGUGACCAAGCUGAAUAUACAUUCCACGCAAGUGAGAGAUAUAAAAUAGGCAUGUGUCAGUCAAGUCAACACAUACCCAUUUAAAGAGAUAUUGCUGCAUUACUUUGUAUUUAUGGAUUCCCUGGUCUCACUGACAGACAGCGGCGAGCUCCAGCUGUUUAGUUGAUUUAUGUAUAUAUUUUUGGGGGGUUACGUGUUAUUUUGGCAUUAAUAUGUGUCACAAAUCAGUUUGCAAACAAUGUGAAAAAAAUAAAGCUGCAUACAGACAUGGUC